AUUGAACGCUGGCGGCAUGCUUUACACAUGCAAGUCGAACGGUAACAGGGUGCUUGCACCGCUGACGAGUGGCGAACGGGUGAGUAAUGCGUCGGAACGUGCCGAGUAGUGGGGGAUAACGCAGCGAAAGUUGUGCUAAUACCGCAUACGUACUGAGGUAGAAAGUGGGGGACCUUCGGGCCUCACGCUAUUCGAGCGGCCGACGUCUGAUUAGUUAGUAGGUGAGGUAAAGGCUCACCUAGGCGACGAUCAGUAGCUGGUCUGAGAGGAUGAUCAGCCACACUGGGACUGAGACACGGCCCAGACUCCUACGGGAGGCAGCAGUGGGGAAUUUUGGACAAUGGACGCAAGUCUGAUCCAGCCAUUCCGCGUGCAGGAUGAAGGCCCUCGGGUUGUAAACUGCUUUUGUACGGAACGAAAAGGUCUCCAUUAAUACUGGGGGCUCAUGACGGUACCGUAAGAAUAAGCACCGGCUAACUACGUGCCAGCCGCCGCCGUAA
rnacentral:rRNA from 1 species